AUGCCUUAAACUUAUGAGUAAGAAAAAUAACAAUUCGGGAUAAUACCUGAAUCCUCACUGCUAAUGUGAGAGGAGACAAGUUUUUGAGCAGGUAAAAGUCGAACCUAAGGUGACCCACCUACUUGAGGGAUGCCUGGAAGUUGUGAUCUGCCCG